rnacentral:tRNA from 2 species
GGUAAAAUGGCUGAGUAAAGCAAUAGACUGUAAAUCUAAGUACGGAGGUUUGAUUCCUCUUUUUACCA